rnacentral:ribozyme from 13 species
AAAAAAAAAAAUGGAAAAGGAAAACGUCGAAAAUCCGCUAUCAGAUUUUUUUUUCUCGUUUUUCCUCUUUUUGUCCCUUUCUUCUCUUCUCUUUCUCUCUUUAUCUCUUUCUCGUUCCUUUCUCUUUUUUAAAG